GUGAAUUGUUCAGAAAGAGUGAAUCAGAGGGACUCUGAAAAGAUAGAAUCAAAGCAAAGCCCAGAAAACUUUCUCGUGAGGGGAAUCGAGUGAAAUUCUAGAAGUGAAAGUGGAACUCUUUCAGUCCUCUUUGCUGAUUCAUCUGCUAGAAAUCUGAAAAGUGUGAUUAUAAUGUUAUAACCAUCAACUCAUGAAGUCUAAAUUCCAAAUAAUAGGAAACAGAAAAUAAAGUGAUCUGCCCCCACCCUGAAGCUGUCUGGGAGCCCACCAACAGUGGCCUCAUAAAAAUGAAAAGGUUCCUGUCACCCAAGAUAUUUCAAGGAACUUAGACGAUCUAGGUUCAACCAGACCAGAGUUUAGGAGAGUACGUCGAUGGAAAGAGGAUGAUAGCAAGCAUAAGACUCACUGUAGACACCUAGAAGAUGCUGCAAAACGGUAGCUGCGUGUCAGCAAAAGACCAGCGGAUGUGAACAACCAUGGCCUAACAGAGAUCUCCAUCAA
rnacentral:lncRNA from 13 species